AAAAAAGGUAAGCUACUAAGAGCGAAUGGUGGAUGCCUUGACUGGUAAAGGCGAUGAAGGACGUACUAGACUGCGAUAAGCUACGGGGAGCUGUCAAGAAGCUUUGAUCCGUAGAUUUCCGAAUGGGGCAACCCAAUGUAUAGAGAUAUACAUUACCUAUAUAGGAGCGAACGAGGGGAAUUGAAACAUCUUAGUACCCUCAGGAAAAGAAAUCAAUAGAGAUUGCGUCAGUAGCGGCGAGCGAAAGCGCAAGAGGGCAAACCCAGUGCCUUGCACUGGGGGUUGUAGGACUGCAAUGUGCAAGAGGUAAGUUUAGCAGAACAUUCUGGAAAGUAUAACCAUAGAGGGUGAUAGUCCCGUAUGCGAAAAACAAACCUUAGCUAGCAGUAUCCUGAGUAGGGCGGGACACGAGGAAUCCUGUCUGAAUCCGGGUCGACCACGAUCCAACCCUAAAUACUAAUACCAGAUCGAUAGUGCACAAGUACCGUGAGGGAAAGGUGAAAAGAACUGAGGUGAUCAGAGUGAAAUAGAACCUGAAACCAUUUGCUUACAAUCAUUCAGAGCCCUAUGUAGCAAUACAGGGUGAUGGACUGCCUUUUGCAUAAUGAGCCUGCGAGUUGUGGUGUCUGGCAAGGUUAAGCAAACGCGAAGCCGUAGCGAAAGCGAGUCUGAAUAGGGCGCUUAGUCAGAUGCUGCAGACCCGAAACGAAGUGAUCUAUCCAUGAGCAAGUUGAAGCUAGUGUAAGAACUAGUGGAGGACUGAACCCAUAGGCGUUGAAAAGCCCCGGGAUGACUUGUGGAUAGGGGUGAAAGGCCAAUCAAACUUCGUGAUAGCUGGUUCUCUCCGAAAUAUAUUUAGGUAUAGCGUUGUGUCGUAAUAUAAGGGGGUAGAGCACUGAAUGGGCUAGGGCAUACACCAAUGUACCAAACCCUAUCAAACUCCGAAUACCUUAUAUGUAAUCACAGCAGUCAGGCGGCGAGUGAUAAAAUCCGUCGUCAAGAGGGAAACAACCCAGACUACCAGCUAAGGUCCCUAAAUCUUACUUAAGUGGAAAACGAUGUGAAGUUACUUAAACAACCAGGAGGUUGGCUUAGAAGCAGCCAUCCUUUAAAGAAAGCGUAAUAGCUCACUGGUCUAGUGAUUUUGCGCGGAAAAUAUAACGGGGCUAAAGUAAGUACCGAAGCUGUAGACUUGCACACAACUUAGAUUAUUUAAGUUUAGAAUAUGAGAAACUAAGUUAUAUGUUUAGUUAUAUUUUUACUGAUUUUUAUAGAGUAAAGAUAGAAAUAAAACUUAGUAAAAUCAGUAAAAAUAUUCUUAGACUAAAGUUAAGUAGUUUAAGUUGUGUGCAAGUGGUAGGAGAGCGUUCUAUUUGCGUCGAAGGUAUACCGGUAAGGAGUGCUGGAGCGAAUAGAAGUGAGCAUGCAGGCAUGAGUAGCGAUAAUUAAUGUGAGAAUCAUUAACGCCGUAAACCCAAGGUUUCCUACGCGAUGCUCGUCAUCGUAGGGUUAGUCGGGUCCUAAGUCGAGUCCGAAAGGGGUAGACGAUGGCAAAUUGGUUAAUAUUCCAAUACCAACAUUAGUGUGCGAUGGAAGGACGCUUAGGGCUAAGGGGGCUAGCGGAUGGAAGUGCUAGUCUAAGGUCGUAGGAGGUUAUACAGGCAAAUCCGUAUAACAAUACUCCGAGAACUGAAAGGCUUUUUGAAGUCUUCGGAUGGAUAGAAGAACCCCUGAUGCCGUCGAGCCAAGAAAAGUUUCUAAGUUUAGCUAAUGUUGCCCGUACCGUAAACCGACACAGGUGGGUGGGAUGAGUAUUCUAAGGCGCGUGGAAGAACUCUCUUUAAGGAACUCUGCAAAAUAGCACCGUAUCUUCGGUAUAAGGUGUGGUUAGCUUUGUAUUAGGAUUUACUCCGAAAGCAAGGAAACUUACAACAAAGAGUCCCUCCCGACUGUUUACCAAAAACACAGCACUCUGCUAACUCGUAAGAGGAUGUAUAGGGUGUGACGCCUGCCCGGUGCUCGAAGGUUAAUUGAUGGGGUUAGCAUUAGCGAAGCUCUUGAUCGAAGCCCGAGUAAACGGCGGCCGUAACUAUAACGGUCCUAAGGUAGCGAAAUUCCUUGUCGGUUAAAUACCGACCUGCAUGAAUGGCGUAACGAGAUGGGAGCUGUCUCAAAGAGGGAUCCAGUGAAAUUGUAGUGGAGGUGAAAAUUCCUCCUACCCGCGGCAAGACGGAAAGACCCCGUGGACCUUUACUACAGCUUGACACUGCUACUUGGAUAAGAAUGUGCAGGAUAGGUGGGAGGCUUUGAGUAUAUGACGCCAGUUGUAUAUGAGCCAUUGUUGAGAUACCACUCUUUCUUAUUUGGGUAGCUAACCAGCUUGAGUUAUCCUCAAGUGGGACAAUGUCUGGUGGGUAGUUUGACUGGGGCGGUCGCCUCCCAAAUAAUAACGGAGGCUUACAAAGGUUGGCUCAGAACGGUUGGAAAUCGUUCGUAGAGUAUAAAGGUAUAAGCCAGCUUAACUGCAAGACAUACAAGUCAAGCAGAGACGAAAGUCGGUCUUAGUGAUCCGGUGGUUCUGUGUGGAAGGGCCAUCGCUCAAAGGAUAAAAGGUACCCCGGGGAUAACAGGCUGAUCUCCCCCAAGAGCUCACAUCGACGGGGAGGUUUGGCACCUCGAUGUCGGCUCAUCGCAUCCUGGGGCUGGAGCAGGUCCCAAGGGUAUGGCUGUUCGCCAUUUAAAGCGGUACGCGAGCUGGGUUCAGAACGUCGUGAGACAGUUCGGUCCCUAUCUGCCGUGGGCGUAAGAAGAUUGAAGAGAUUUGACCCUAGUACGAGAGGACCGGGUUGAACAAACCACUGGUGUAGCUGUUGUUCUGCCAAGAGCAUCGCAGCGUAGCUAAGUUUGGAAAGGAUAAACGCUGAAAGCAUCUAAGCGUGAAGCCAACUCUAAGAUGAAUCUUCUCUAAGCUCUCUAGAAGACUACUAGUUUGAUAGGCUGGGUGUGUAAUGGAUGAAAGUCCUUUAGCUGACCAGUACUAAUAGAGCGUUUGGCUUAUCUUUAAUAAAGCAU
rnacentral:rRNA from 1 species